UGUUGCUCAGUGGCAGAGUGCUUGCCUAGCAAGCAUGAGGCUCUGGGUUCAAUCCACAAAAAAGAA
rnacentral:tRNA from 1 species